AUAAAAACUCAGUAAAAAAGGUAUAAGAUGUGCUGAUCCCUGCAACUUCCCCAAACGUGAGAUACUUGACUAUAAAAUUUGUGUUAGUGGGGUAUUGUGUUCAUGCCCUCCCCCA
rnacentral:snRNA from 1 species